UACGUAGGUGGCAAGCGUUGUCCGGAAUUAUUGGGCGUAAAGCGCGCGCAGGCGGUCUUUUAAGUCUGAUGUGAAAGCCCACGGCUCAACCGUGGAGGGUCAUUGGAAACUGGGAGACUUGAGUGCAGAAGAGAAGAGUGGAAUUCCACGUGUAGCGGUGAAAUGCGUAGAUAUCUGGAGGAACACCGGUGGCGAAGGCGGCAUCCUGGACCGACACUGACGCUGAGGAGCGAAAGCCAGGGGAGCAAACGGG
rnacentral:rRNA from 1 species